AUAAUUCAGUGUGAAGUUUGGGUGUCCAUAUUUUCAACUAAUUUCUUAUAAUUGGGGAUAUAUUUAGAGUUCCCGGUCCUUAAACAGUUAUCUAAAUGUGAGUCAUUAAGCUUUGUCUGGUAUUGA